GGAUUAGAUACCCUGGUAGUCCACGCCGUAAACGAUGUUCACUAGUUGGUUGGUGGCUUAGACUACUGACUGACGUAAGCUAACGCGUUAAGUGAACCGCCUGGGGAGUACGGUCGCAAGAUUAAAACUCAAAGGAAUUGACGGGGGCCCGCACAAGCGGUGGAGCAUGUGGUUUAAUUCGAGGCAACGCGAAGAACCUUACCUGGAUUUGACAUGACGAGAACUUUCUAGAGAUAGAUUGGUGCCCUUCGGGGAACUCGUACACAGGUGCUGCAUGGCUGUCGUCAGCUCGUGCUG
rnacentral:rRNA from 1 species